UUUUCACUGGCCGCUGACUGGACGGACGGUUCCCGGUACAUCAGUGGACCUCUCCGAGCGGCGCGAGCCUGCAAACACCGCCCCGUUCCCGGUCGGAAAACUUCAGCUCGCGAGUCCCGGAGCAGCAGCGCGCGCCGCCGACCGUUGACAGCUGCGUUGUCCAAUGCGUGCACGCGGUGGGUAAAGACCCGCAGUCAGCGCGCGUGCCCGCGGUCAGGGAAAAAAAUGUGGGUGCGCGGUCCCGCGGUCAGGGCGCGGUCCGUCCGGUUCUCCUCAAACAGAGAAGUUCUCAGAGGAAGUUCCAGAACCAGCGACGGUGACCCGGAUAUAGUCCGCUGUAAGAGUCCACACACAUCCUAACUGUAGCCCAGUGGUUCCCAACACACACAGUUUAUAUCAUUAUUAUUGGAAACUCAUCUCCGAUCAAUAGUCACAGGAAAUAAUCAAACUUCUGUUUGGGUUCAUUGAUCAGCUGUUCUCUGCUGAUCAACUGAUACUGAUCAAUAGAAUAUGUCACAAAUAACGGUCGUAGGAUGAUGAAGGAUUUUAAUUUCAGACACAUUAUUGUAUAAAUGUAUUAACACAUCUGUUACUGUAGGAUGGGGAGGGUUCAUUAGUUACUGUAGGAUGAGGAAGGUUUAUUACUUACUGUAGGAUGAGGAAGGUUAAUUAGUUACAGUAGGAUGAGGAGGGUUCAUUAGUUACUGUAGGAUGAGGAGGGUGCAUUAGUUACUGUAGGAUGGGGAAGGUCUAUUAGUUAAUGUAGGAUGAGGAGGGUUCAUUAGUUACUGUAGGAUGAGGAGGGUUCAUUAGUUACUGUAGGAUGAGGAAGGUCUAUUAGUUACUGUAGGAUGAGGAGGGUUUAUUAGUUAAUGUAGGAUGAGGAGGGUUCAUUAGUUACUGUAGGAUGAGGAGGGUUCAUUAGUUACUGUAGGAUGAGGAGGGUUUAUUAGUUACUGUAGGAUGAGGAGGGUUCAUUAGUUACUGUAGGAUGAGGAGGGUUCAUUAGUUACUGUAGGAUGAGGAGGGUUUAUUAGUUACUGUAGGAUGGGGAGGGUUCAUUAGUUACUGUAGGAUGAGAAGGGUUCAUUAGUUACUGUAGGAUGAGGAGGGUUUAUUAGUUACUAUAGGAUGAGGAGGGUUUAUUAGUUACUGUAGGAUGAGGAGGGUUCAUUAGUUACUGUAGGAUGAGAAGGGUUCAUUAGUUACUGUAGGAUGAGGAGGGUUCAUUAGUUACUGUAGGAUGAGGAGGGUUCAUUAGUUACUGUAGGAUGAGGAGGGUCUAUUAGUUACUGUAGGAUGAGGAGGGUUAUUUAGUUACUGUAGGAUGAGGAGGGUUAUUUAGUUACUGUAGGAUGAGGAGGGUUUAUUAGUUACUGUAGGAUGAGGAGGGUUUAUUAGUUACUAUAGGAUGAGGAGGGUUCAUUAGUUACUGUAGGAUGAGGAGGGUUUAUUAGUUACUGUAGGAUGAGGAGGGUCUAUUAGUUAAUGUAGGAUGAGGAGGGUUUAUGAGCUGCUGUAGGAUGAGGAAGGUCUAUUAGUUACUGUAGGAUGAGGAGGGUUUAUGAGCUGCUGUAGGAUGAGGAGGGUUUAUAAGUUACUCUAGGAUGAGGAGGGUUUAUUAGUUAUUGUAGGAUGAGGAGGGUUCAUUAGUUACUGUAGGAUGAGAAGGGUUUAUUAGCUACUGUAGGAUGAGAAGGGUUUAUUAGUUAAUGUAGGAUGAGGAGGGUUUAUAAGUUACUCUAGGAUGAGGAGGGUUUAUUAGUUACUGUAGGAUGAGGAGGGUUUAUUAGUUACUGUAGGAUGAGGAGGGUUUAUUAGUUACUGUAGGAUGAGGAGGGUUUAUAAGUUACUCUAGGAUGAGGAGGGUUGGGUGGGAGAGCGACUGUGGGUGAGUUUGGUAUUGAUUGGUGACCUUUAAUGACCUUUAAUGACCUUUGAUGACCUCUGGUUGAAGCUCACAGAGGUGGGGGGGGGUUGGGGGGCACGCCAUGAAGGGUGACUCAUAAGAAUGAGCAUCCAUCCUGUGACGUCGUCAGCGGGUUCAUUAAAGACACUACGUUACUUUAUGCCCUUGAGCUUAGCAGCGGGGGAAGGUCUGUAGUUGUCUGUAGUUCUGCAGGUAUUUCAGUCCUUCCAGUAAAAUGUGGAGUUUCUUUUUGAUUGUUGCGGGCAAAACUCCUUGAUUAUGCGGCAUGUUUUCUUAAAAAAUGCGAUGAAAUAUGAUAUUUAUGUAAUUUUAUGCGUUGAACUUGCAAAAACCGAGUUUGAUGAAAAAGAGAAAAAGAGUGAUUCCCCAACACCCUGUUCUCAGUGGGCUGCUACCUCGAUGUAAAGAGUCAUCUCUUAUUACUUCCUAUGAUAAACAUACUACAUCACAGAGAGUGCUGGGAAUAUUGAAGUUCUCCUCUUGUUUUUAUUUCAGACCUUUUAAUAAACACAUAACUCAAACUUACAGAACAUUGAUGAGUCCAACAAGUUCUGUAGCUUUACAAAAGGAAUGUGCUCCAACUUCUGUAAAAAUGAAUUCAUGAACUAGAGACUGAUUUGCGGGAUUCAUCGUGGCUUCAUCGCGGGGUUUGCAGCUUUUCGACGACGUUCACGUCGCGUAAUUACGUCACUUCAUAACGUUCCCAUGGCAACAGGGGAAAAUGGCUGCUCUUGUGUGAAGUAAACAUUUUUCAACUUUCUGUGAAGAUAUUUGUGACUUUUUGCAACGUAAAUGCGGGGAUUAUGAAAUCAUGCAAGCCCCGCAUAUUUUGCACGGAAAUCGGCAAUUUAUGCGGUGAAAGUGCGGCGUAUUGG